GGGCCAUAUAUCCUGGGCCUGCUGGUCAAGACUGGUACCUCAAAAGGACUCCUGGCCAGCGAAGGGGGUUGUGCUGAUGUAUAGGUCAAUUCCUACAAUUACAAACCUCUCAAAACCCUUGCUGAAAAUGGUGUGCUCCUGUACUUUCAUUAGGAUGUCAGCAUUUCCUCACCCCGGCCAGUAUCCAGAUGUCUUUUCCAAAAUGGAGAUUAAUAAUAGAUUAAUAACCAUGCUAUUUCUUGCAUAUCUUAAAACUGCUGCCUGGAACCCAUUUAGUGAAUAGCUGAAAUAUCCUUUGUCUCUUUGUUGCCUUUUAGAUUUCAAAUUGAUUGUGCUGCUUUGGAGACAGCGAAUGUUUCUUAACUGAUGCCAUGGAUUAGAACCGGGAGUCUGGAGAAGUGAAUCCAGAGAGAUCACAGUCCUGCUGUGUAAUACACGAUCUAAGUGCACAAAAUGCUACCAAUGGAUCGACAGUGGACCACACAGAACCUCCAAUUGCUGAGAAUUCUGAAUUUCACCACCAGAACAUCAUAGUACCUUACUAACGGACAAGACAAAUGAAGCACAACAAUGGUCUGUGGCAAAAGAACAACCACAGCCCAUUUCCCCACAGUUGAUCACCUCAAAGCAUUGCCCACCAUACCAAAUGAGACCGCCACCCACUUCAAUAAGGAAGAGCAGCUACAAAACCUCUGCUGUCCAGAUUAACCAAGUGGAUGGAGAUGACCUGUGCGCCUCCAUCCUCUUGUCAUGUCUUUUCUGUCAGCCUUGGGACUGUUUACUGGCCACGGGGAAAGGAUGCCAUGCCUGUGCCUCAUCCCUGUGCUCCUCCCUGCACUCCACAGUGUACUGCUGUGAGCCUGAUUCCCUGGAGCCUUUGCUGGACAUGACCCAUCACUGUGGCUGCUGUGGGUGUCUGGAUGCCCACUGCUGCCCGUGUGUAGAUCCAGGAUUUGAGUGCUGUGCCUGUGAUAUCUGCAUGCAAGCCACAGAGUGUGUGGAUCUAGGCAUGGAGAUCUCACAAAUGCUCUUCCACUAA
rnacentral:lncRNA from 8 species